rnacentral:lncRNA from 1 species
UACAGUUGAGCCAUACUUCCCCACGCGAGAAGGGGUACAAUGUUUGAAAGAAUGAGGAUCAGCACAAAAACACGCUUGUCCAUGCUGGAAGAUGCCGGG